UUCAAACAUCCGUCUUAUCUCUAACCGCUUCAAGCAUCAAACAGGUUGUAGAAUCUUAUUUUUGCUGUUCUCAUUUUAUUUUCAGAUGCCGAAGUCUUAUUGGACCUCGAGUAUUGUAUUUUAUGCCAUAUCAUGAGGAAAUGUGUGAUGGUAUGACAAUGAAAUUCCUUGAGUCCUUUCAGCUUUUGAACAUAAACAACAUAAGCUUAUUAGGACUCACCAGAGAAGAUGUCAAGGUAGGAAGACGCCCCUCUGGAAGAUCUGGAGUGCCCAUACUGCGCUCUUCUGGAGCCCAACGUCCAGUAUGUGCCAGCUGACGCUCCUUUCUCUGGUUGCUCCAGCUCAGAGAAGACCGCUCCAUCUCCACUGUCAGGCUCGCCACACCAGUCCCCCGGCGUGCCAAGGGGCCCCGCAAUAGAGCUGGACCUUUGUUUUCGACCCCUGAUACCCUGGACCUCGUCGGUUUCUCCUGAGUCUGUUCUCCUCGGCACACAGGGGCUGUGCUUAGCCUCAUCACGGUCAAGGGUGAGCUGCAGCCUAUUCCAACCAAUUUCUGGUGACUCCAGCCUGAGGGAAAAAAAGUCAGUCUUGUGUGACACAAUUGAUUUGGACUGUUUAUUGACUUAAAAGAUGACUUUGAUUGGCAUACUUAAAACGUAAUAAAAUACAUUUGCAAUCA